AUUCACUCGUUCAUUCAGUCAUUCAGUCACUCAUUGACAGGUUUAUCCUUCUCAGCAGGAGAGGAAACCGUCUCUCAGGGCGUUUUUCAGUGUGGAGGAUGAAUGACGACACAGAUGAGAUGGAGAGGAAACCGUCUCUCAGGGCGUUUUUCAGUGUGGAGGAUGAAUGACGACACAGAUGACAUGGUGAGAAGCUCAUUCAUUCAGUCAUUCAGUCAGUCAUUCAUUCAUUCAUUGACAGGUUUAUCCUUCUCAGCAGGAGAGGAAACCGUCUCUCAGGGCGUUUUUCAGUGUGGAGGAUGAAUGACGACACAGAUGACAUGGAGAGGAAACCGUCUCUCAGGGCGUUUUUCAGUGUGGAGGAUAAAUUACGACACGGAUGAGAUGGUGAGAAGCUCAUUCAUUCAUUCAUUCAGUCAGUCAUUCACUCGUUCAUUCAGUCAUUCAGUCACUCGUUGACAGGUUUAUCUUUCUCAGCAGGAGAGGAAACCGUCUCUCAGGGCGUU